rnacentral:ncRNA from 1 species
AUUAAAACUAUGAAGGAGCAAAGUAGCACUUUAUGGUUACAAUCCCAGAGAGCAGACUGGCUGGUGAAAAGUCUGCAGUACAUAAAGCUGUGAAUUACACUCCAGAGUUUCAAUGUGAAAGCAUUGCGUUUGCCACACGAUAAAGUGGCUAAGAGGCACCUUUAAGGUGUAAAGUAGGGUGGUACCACGGGUCUUCUCGUCCUUACA